CCUACGGGAGGCAGCAGUGAGGAAUAUUGGUCAAUGGACGAGAGUCUGAACCAGCCAAGUAGCGUGAAGGAUGACUGCCCUAUGGGUUGUAAACUUCUUUUAUAUGGGAAUAAAGUGUUCCACGUGUGGGGUUUUGUAUGUACCAUAUGAAUAAGGAUCGGCUAACUCCGUGCCAGCAGCCGCGGUAAUACGGAGGAUCCGAGCGUUAUCCGGAUUUAUUGGGUUUAAAGGGAGCGUAGGUGGAUUGUUAAGUCAGUGGUGAAAGUUUGGGGGUCAACCGUCAAAGUGCAGUUGAAACUGGGAGCCUUGAGUACAGUAGAGGUGGGCGGAAGGCGUGGUGUAGCGGUGAAAUGCUUAGAUAUCACGAAGAACUCCGAUUGCGAAGGCAGCGUACUGGACUGCAACUGACACUGAGGCUCGAAAGUGUGGGUAUCAAACAGGAUUAGAUACCCCUGUAGUC
rnacentral:rRNA from 1 species